rnacentral:rRNA from 1 species
CCUACGGGGCGCAGCAGUGAGGAAUAUUGGUCAAUGGGCUUACGCCUGAACCAGCCAAGUCGCGUGAGGGAAGACUGCCCUAUGGGUUGUAAACCUCUUUUGUCAGGGAGCAAUUGGUGCUACGUGUAGCGUUAUCGAGAGUACCUGAAGAAAAAGCAUCGGCUAACUCCGUGCCAGCAGCCGCGGUAAUACGGAGGAUGCGAGCGUUAUCCGGAUUUAUUGGGUUUAAAGGGUGCGUAGGCGGAAUGCCAAGUCUGGAGUGAAAGGUACCGGCUCAACCGGUACAGGCUCUGGAAACUGGCGUG